UACAGAGGGUGCAAGCGUUAAUCGGAAUUACUGGGCGUAAAGCGUGCGUAGACGGUUAUGUAAGUCGGGUGUGAAAGCCCCGGGCUCAACCUGGGAAUUGCAUUCGAGACUGUGUAGCUAGGGUACGGAAGAGUGAAGCGGAAUUUCAGGUGUAGCGGUGAAAUGCGUAGAUAUCUGAAGGAACACCAGUGGCGAAGGCGGCAUCCUGGACCAAUUCUGACGCUGAGUGAGCGAAAGCCAGGGGAGCAAACGGG
rnacentral:rRNA from 1 species